rnacentral:rRNA from 1 species
CGUAGGGUGCGAGCGUUAAUCGGAAUUACUGGGCGUAAAGUGUGCGCAGGUGGCCGCGCAUGUCGAGUGUGAAAUCCCCGGGCUUAACUUGGGAAUUGCGCUCGAAACUACGUGGCUAGAGUGUGGCAGAGGAAGGUGGAAUUCCACGUGUAGCGGUGAAAUGCGUAGAGAUGUGGAGGAACACCGAUGGCGAAGGCAGCCUUCUGGGCCAACACUGACGCUCAUGCACGAAAGCGUGGGGAGCAAACAGGAUUAAAUACCCUGGUAGUCCACGCCCUAAACGAUGAUGACUAGUUGUUGGAGGAGUUAAAUCCUUUAGUAACGCAGCUAACGCGUGAAGUCAUCCGCCUGGGGAGUACGGUCGCAAGAUUA